rnacentral:rRNA from 1 species
CCUACGGGGGGCUGCAGUGGGGAAUAUUGCACAAUGGGCGAAAGCCUGAUGCAGCGACGCCGCGUGAGGGAUGAAGGCCUUCGGGUUGUAAACCUCUUUCAGCAGGGAAGAAGCGAGAGUGACGGUACCUGCAGAAGAAGCACCGGCUAACUACGUGCCAGCAGCCGCGGUAAUACGUAGGGUGCGAGCGUUGUCCGGAAUUAUUGGGCGUAAAGAGCUUGUAGGCGGUUUGUCGCGUCUGCUGUGAAAAUCUGGGGCUUAACUCCGGACGUGCA